rnacentral:rRNA from 1 species
ACGAACGCUGGCGGCGUGCCUAAUACAUGCAAGUCGAACGGUCUUUCUAUGGAAGCUUGCUUCCACUGAGAAGAUAGUGGCGAACGGGUGAGUAACACGUGGGUAACCUGCCCAUAAGAGGGGGAUAACAUCCGGAAACGGGUGCUAAUACCGCAUAGUUUCUUGAUCGCAUGAUUGGGAAAGGAAAGACGGCCUUUGUGCUGUCGCUUAUGGAUGGACCCGCGGCGUAUUAGUUAGUUGGUGAGGUAACGGCUCACCAAGACGAUGAUACGUAGCCGACCUGAGAGGGUGAUCGGCCACAUUGGGACUGAGACACGGCCCAAACUCCUACGGGAGGCAGCAGUAGGGAAUCUUCCGCAAUGGACGAAAGUCUGACGGAGCAACGCCGCGUGAGUGAAAGAAGGUUUUCGGAUCGUAAAACUCUGUUGUCAGAGAAGAACAAGUUGGAGAGUAACUGCUCCAGCCUUGACGGUAUCUGACCAGAAAGCCACGGCUAACUACGUGCCAGCCGCCGC